GACGAACGCUGGCGGCGUGCUUAACACAUGCAAGUCGAACGAGAAAUCCCGCUUCGGCGGGAUGGACAGUGGCGAACGGGUGAGUAACACGUAGGUAAUCUGCCCUCGAGUGGGGAAUAAUUCCGGGAAACUGGUUGUAAUACCGCAUGACAUCCCGGCGGGACAUCCCGUUGGGAUCAAAGGUUUCGGCCGCUCGAGGAUGAGCCUGCGCCCCAUUAGCUUGUUGGUGAGGUAACGGCUCACCAAGGCUACGAUGGGUAGCUGGUCUGAGAGGACGACCAGCCACACUGGGACUGAGAUACGGCCCAGACUCCUACGGGAGGCAG
rnacentral:rRNA from 1 species